UACAGAGGGGGCAAGCGUUAUUCGGAAUUAUUGGGCGUAAAGAGCUCGUAGGCGGUCUGUUGCGUCCGCUGUGAAAACCCGGGGCUUAACCCCUGGCUUGCAGUGGAUACGGACAGACUAGAGGUAGGUAGGGGAGAAUGGAAUUCCCGGUGUAGCGGUGAAAUGCGCAGAUAUCGGGAGGAACACCGGUGGCGAAGGCGGUUCUCUGGGCCUUACCUGACGCUGAGGAGCGAAAGCGUGGGGAGCGAACAGG
rnacentral:rRNA from 1 species